AUUGAACGCUGGCGGCAUGCUUUACACAUGCAAGUCGAACGGUAACAGGCCGCAAGGUGCUGACGAGUGGCGAACGGGUGAGUAAUGCAUCGGAACGUGCCCAGUCGUGGGGGAUAACGCAGCGAAAGCUGCGCUAAUACCGCAUACGAUCUAUGGAUGAAAGCGGGGGACCGUAAGGCCUCGCGCGAUUGGAGCGGCCGAUGUCAGAUUAGGUAGUUGGUGGGGUAAGGGCUCACCAAGCCAACGAUCUGUAGCUGGUCUGAGAGGACGACCAGCCACACUGGGACUGAGACACGGCCCAGACUCCUACGGGAGGCAGCAGUGGGGAAUUUUGGACAAUGGGCGCAAGCCUGAUCCAGCGAUGCCGCGUGCAGGAAGAAGGCCUUCGGGUUGUAAACUGCUUUUGUACGGAACGAAACGGCUCUCUCUAAUACAGGGGGCUAAUGACGGUACCGUAAGAAUAAGCACCGGCUAACUACGUGCCAGCCGCCGCAGUAAGAC
rnacentral:rRNA from 1 species